UGGGGAAUUUUGGACAAUGGGGGAAACCCUGAUCCAGCAAUGCCGCGUGUGUGAAGAAGGCCUUCGGGUUGUAAAGCACUUUUGUCCGGAAAGAAAGCACCCGGGAUAAUACCACGAGUGGAUGACGGUACCGGAAGAAUAAGCACCGGCUAACUACGUGCCAGCAGCCGCGGUAAUACGUAGGGUGCAAGCGUUAAUCAGAAUUACUGGGCGUAAAGCGUGCGCAGGCGGUUUGCUAAGACGGAUGUGAAAUCCCCGGGCUCAACCUGGGAACUGCAUUCGUGACUGGCAAGCUAGAGUAUGGCAGAGGGGGGUGGAAUUCCACGUGUAGCAGUGAAAUGCGUAGAGAUGCGGAGGAACACCGAUGGCGAAGGCAGCCCCCUGGGCCAAUACUGACGCUCAUGCACGAAAGCGUGGGGAGCAAACAGGAUUAGAUACCCCCGUAGUCC
rnacentral:rRNA from 1 species